AGUUGCCAUCAGGUUAAGCUGGGGACUCUAAAGGAACUGCCUACGCAAGUAGUGAGGAAGGCGGGGAUGACGUCAAAUCAGCACGGCCCUUACGUCCAGGGCUACACACGUGCUACAAUGGCCGACACAGAGGGCAGCUACCUGGUGACAGGAUGCAAAUCUCCAAAGUCGGUCUCAGUUCGGAUCGGAGUCUGCAACCCGACUCCGUGAAGUUGGAUUCGCUAGUAAUCGCGCAUCAGCCAUGGCGCGGUGAAUACGUUCCCGGGCCUU
rnacentral:rRNA from 1 species